AAUCUAUGGUGUGGGCAUCUCUGGAUCAAUGUUUUAAAACAAUCUCAGGCUUCAUGAAAACUUUCUUCUUUUAAUUGUUUGAACAUUGCAAUCUCCCCCUCAGUU
rfam:Gossypium raimondii chromosome 3, whole genome shotgun sequence.